rnacentral:rRNA from 1 species
GUGGAUUAGAUACCCUGGUAGUCCACGCCGUAAACGAUGGGCACUAGGUGUCGCGGGUAUUGACCCCUGCGGUGCCGUAGCUAACGCAUUAAGUGCCCCGCCUGGGGAGUACGGCCGCAAGGCUAAAACUCAAAGGAAUUGACGGGGGCCCGCACAAGCGGUGGAGCAUGUGGUUUAAUUCGACGCAACGCGAAGAACCUUACCUGGGUUUGACAUCCCGAUCGUACCUUAUGGAAACAUAGGGGUCAGUUCGGCUGGAUCGGUGACAGGUGCUGCACGGUCGUCGUCAACU